UAAUCUAAUUUGUGGCACUGAAGUCAUAUGUAGUUCUCUUAUGCUUUUCUAAAUAUAAUAGUUAGGCACACUGCAGUCUUUUCCACCCCAGAGAAAAAAAAACUGGUGGUCUUCUCUAGAAAAAUAACUAUCUGAGUCUGUACCUAGAUGUGUUGCUUCCAGUAAUUGGGUGUAUGCUAAACUGCGCAUAUUGCUCCUAUUUCUUGAAAUAUAUUCCAUGGUCAUCUGGCAUUGAUGCUUUAUUAUGUCCAACACAACAGUACAGAUUUUAAUUAGAACAUGUUUUUGCAUUAUUUAGGACUUGCCCUAUUUUUUAUAAUACUAAAACACCACUGCCAUUGAUGCUUUAUACAAUUAUUAUUUUCACCAUUCUCUAUGAAUACAUGAAUUCACCGGUGACUUUUUAUCCUUUAGGAAAGACGUACAAACGGACCAGGAAGGAACCAUGAAGAUGGCAGUUCGUGUUCGCCAGGCAUUUUGUGUGUAAUGGAGCAAAUACAUUGUCUAUAUCAUUUUGUGAACCUAUAUGGCGUCUUGUCAUCUGUGUAUUCUGUGUAAUGGAGAAAACAAUGAAUUGGUCUGACAUGCAUCUAUCAUUUUGUAACAUAUUGGGUGUUUCGGUGACUCGAGCAUAUAAAUGUUGGAUGGCUUAUGAGAAUGAAUUGCUUUUUUUAUCCUUCUUUGCUCAUGAUUUAAUUCUUUUGUGAGUACAUGCAAGUUAGUUAACUUGAUUGAUAUUGUGUUGUAAAUGAGAUAUGCAACUUGAUUGACAAUGUACAAGGCAGAUGGGAAAUAUAUAGGUAUUUGAUAUUAUUGCUCAGCUAAACAAAAUGUCGAUGAACAGUUGGUUGGGAAAAGAAAAAUAGCGUCCCAUUGUCGGUCGGCAAAGGUUCAUACUAGGCCAACGACAAGUCGGUUGGCAAAAAUGACACCAUCGAACUGUUGGUCGGGAAAGAUUCAUAGCAAGCCUAGCAGAAUGUCGGUCGGCAAAGAUGUCACUGUCAAACAGUCGGUUGGGAAAAGUUCUACGGCAGUACCAAUGAAAAAUCGGUCGGGAAAGGUACACGGUAGUGCCAAUAGAAAGUCGGUCGGCAAUGCCCUUUAUCGCCAUCGAACUGUCAGUCAGCAAAGAUAUGUCGGUCGGCAAAAGGCUUUCCCGUCUGGACUUUCCCCAACAAGCACCGUCGGUCGGCAAUUAUUAUUCCCGACCGACUGUCUGUCGGCGAAUCCCGUUUUUUCGACCAACUUAUCUGUCAGUGAUGUAGUGCUGUGGUGUAGUGAGUAUCGGCGGCAACAUCGGUCGGGCUUGCCGGCAGCGUCGACGUGUGCGUGGGCGUGGGCGUCGUCGUCGAAAGAAGCUGGUCUAGGAUGAGGCCAACAUGCGCUCUGUACCACGCCUUGACCGCCUCGUCGGUGCUCUAGAGCAUGUCUGCCCCGCCCAGCAGGAACACCAGGUCGGUGUUCCUCUUCUUCGCGGCGACGUUGGUCCGGAGUAGGACGCGUACGCGGGCGGUGAGUAGUUGUAUGGAGGGUACUGCACGCCGGUGAAGGCGGGCGAGGGCGUGCACUGGGCCGGGUGUCCAUGGGGGAAAGUGACCUUUGUGUUGAACCCACCGUACACCGCCCCCGUCGGCAUAGCCCGGCGAUCCCCAUGGCUGCGGCGACGGAGACCCGACACCUUGAUGGCCCCUGGGNNNNNNNNNNNNNNNNNNNNNNNNNNNNNNNNNNNNNNNNNNNNNNNNNNNNNNNNNNNNNNNNNNNNNNNNNNNNNNNNNNNNNNNNNNNNNNNNNNNNNNNNNNNNNNNNNNNNNNNNNNNNNNNNNNNNNNNNNNNNNNNNNNNNNNNNNNNNNNNNNNNNNNNNNNNNNNNNNNNNNNNNNNNNNNNNNNNNNNNNNNNNNNNNNNNNNNNNNNNNNNNNNNNNNNNNNNNNNNNNNNNNNNNNNNNNNNNGCAGCCGCGCAUGCCGCGUUGUCGCGGGCCUUCUUGGCGAGGGCCCUGUUCCGCCGGUCGGCGGUGACAGCCUCCCGCCGCUGCACUUCUACCCUCCAAUCGGCGUUCGUCAUGCCCGGCGGCUUGGACGGCGGCGCCCUCGGCUUCCUCUGCUUCGUCUGGGCGACGGAGGCGGUCGCGGUUGCCGCGGCGCGGGGGACGGCGUACUUCUUCGGUGCCAUGGCGGGCGGCUGGGAGGCGAGCGGGAGGCAGAUUGGCGGGAGGAAAGGAGGAAAUGGGAGGGAAGUGGGGAAAAACGGGAAGAAACGGCGGGAAGAGGCGCUCGACUCGCCGACAAGGCGGACCCACGCGCCCUUUUCGCUUGUGCCGGCGCCACAGGCGCCCCCCAGGGCGCCGGGUUCUGCCUGGGUCCGCCGGCACCAGUUUCGGCCCGAGCCGGUGAAAAACGGGCUUCUGGGGGGCGACUGGGCCGUUUUUUCGGUGCCGGCGCGGCAAAAACGCCUGGGGAGGGCCUGUUGGGGCCGCGGCUGAAGAUGCUCUAAGACUUGUGCGCCAUGUGCCAUGGCCGCCGGCGUGAAUUAAUUCAACUUUCUCAACAGUUCAAUCUCGUAGAAAAUAACACAGAAGAAUUGAGCAUCCAAUGCAAUUAUUGAUAGCCCUUUGCAGAUCAGCAGUUGGUACUUUCGGGUUUUGAAUGACAAACACAAGGUCCUGAACUUUCUCAUUCUGGGGGUUGGUGAUUGACAGAUUGAAAGUCCUGCCUAGGGUAAUCAGUGACGCAGAAUAACGUUUAAUCAGCCAACGCGCGUCAAAUUAUUCGUCAUGGGCGUUCACAUGAUUGAUAGGUACAAAAAGGUUGGGUGAAACCGAAUGCAUUGCCGGAAGUGUGUUAAAAUGAGAGUGUGAACGGACCAACGUAAGAUAUUUGAAAGUUACUAAAUUUUCUGGUCUCCGGGCACCAUUAACAGUGUUGUCUUGUCUAACCCAUAUAUGCUUGGCUUCCCCGUUCACUGAAUUUUUCUUUUGAAAAGAAGGAUCACCCCUGCCUUUACAUCAAAACGAUAUAUGCAACCAUCUUUAUUAAUUAUUCAAUAGAGCCUGACAAAAUGAAUACAAAGAUCAACGCAGAACCCCUAUCUAGGCGAAGAAAGUCCCUGCACCUACAAGUAUAAAGAUGUGUCGGGUCCGCAUCAACAGACAUCAUCUAAUCCAGUGGCCUCAAAAGGCCGAUGGCGUGGGAAGCUAGGAGUACCAGCCAGUCUAGGCGUCCCACAACUCGCACCGCAUGCACAUGCUAGCUCUAGGAUCCGCCAUAGCUAUCUUUCGUCAUCAUGUCUUUAGGAGGAAUCAUUGCAUAGAUCUUGCGAGUCACAUUUGCUGUUGACGUCACCAUGACGCCAAACAGCGCCACCAGCCUGCGCUCGUCCAUCGAACCGCGUCAAGCGUUGAUACUCCACUGCUCCACGCCGCGAAAUCCACUGUCUUCAAUGUGGCCGAUGCAACACCCCUGUCUAGAGAAUACUAGAGCAGAAGACAGAGGUUCAAAUAGAUGCAUAUUUCAUUUCAACAUAGAUGGAUAAGAAAAUGCAUCAAAAGCUCUUUUUUUAGCAUUCAUUGUAUGUGCUUAUAUGGUGUGUUAAAACGUAUAUGGCACGGUUAAGUUAUUGCAGAAAGAACAUCACGGCUGUAAACACAAAACAUUGUAGAUGAACUAUCUAAAUGGUUCAAAAAAUACAAAGAAAAUUAUCGUCAGACAUGGAUAGAUCAUUGUCGUCGGUGGUGGACUGAUCAUGUGAUGUCCAGUCUCGGCGGUUUGAGGUGUGGAUGGCGGCCUUCGACGGCCGCAACAAGAAGAUUAUGGUACGCAAUGAUGCGUCUGCAAGCGCGACCUGUAUCCAUAGGCACGACGCCCGUGGGUGCAUGUGGCGCUAUGGGUGCUCGCCGGCGGCACAAAGGGGUUCGUCCAGUAAAAGGGCGCUGGCCAUCGCACGAGGAGGUUUGUCGCACCUGCAAACGCGUCUGAAGCUAUGGAGUUCGGGGCAAACCGGCGGUUCCCCGUUGGCAUUUACUACAGAGGAAGUGGCUCUCACGAUUUGCUGGAUGCUGCAGUGUAACUCGCGUCAAUGUGGAGUGGUGGUGGCUAGAUCUGCGCCGAGACACCGAAGGCCCCUUGACAUCCAUGGUGGAGGUCUAAGGUGGGAAGACGUCUCACCGAUCUGCUAGUGCCUUGUUGGCCUGACGUGGAGUAAGGCAAAGGCGAUUUCCAAAGGUGGGAAGACGUCUCACCAAGAUGCUGAUUGGAACACUGCUUCAUGUCCGGAGCGAAAACUCUUGUCCUGACCUUUAUUGAUCGGGCUUGGCAGCGACAAACUCGCGUCAUUAUCAUGUUGAAAGCAUUGUCUACUUGGUAUUGUGCUGGUCUUCAUCGGCUAGUCUUGGAACCAUGAUGAAAAUCGUUGUCAACACCACAUGGGGCGACGAUGGUGCGAGGACCUUUAUCCCUUCAUAAAGGCGUUGCUGUGGAAGAAGUCAACUUUGUCCUAGGUGUUCAUUACAUAUCUGGUAUUGGUUUAGACUAGGUAACUUUGUUAUGUGCUUCGUGCAAUAAUUAACGAAAAAGGUAUGUUGCAAAGGCUAGUGGUUUAACCUCCUUUUCAAUAAAAUAAUGAUAUUCUAGAUAUGGACAGAAUCCCCAAAACAAAUUUCAGCACAGAUUUUUUCUAACAUUGCUAAAAAUUCUUUAAUACUUUUGGCACAAAUUAUUUAUAUUAAUUUAUAGCUGGUUUCGCUGAAUUGUUUAUUUAGGCAUAUAGUAAUAUAACUUAAACUGCAAGCUUUCCAGCGUGAAGUGUUAGAAUAAAUCCGAGGCAUAUCGCCGAUCAUCCGAGGACCAAGCAAUCACACAAGCACAACACCGAGAUUUGUUAACGAGGUUCACCGACAUGGCUACAUCCCCGGGGCCUGACUAUGGGCGCUCCUCCCCAUGAUACCGCUACAAUACCGCACCCGGUCGCCCUGGACACCGGCACAUGCCGCCGGCUUCCCCUGCGUUCCGAUGCUAUUAUGUUGGCAUAGGUUACAUCGUGUGUCUACCCCCGUAUAUAAGAGAGGCCUAGGAUAUAAGUGUCCUACUAGGACACGACUCCACAUCCUAUGUAAACACGAUACAACUACAAGUCCAACUAUAACCUACUCCCUCCAUCCGUGAAUAAGUGUACUUCUAGCUUUUGUCUUAAGUCAAAGUUUUGAAAUUUUGACCAACUAUAUACAAAAGAGUGAUAACAUAUAUGACAUCAAAUUGAUAUAUUAUGAAAGUACAUUUCAAAAUAGAUCUAGUGAUAUUAAGUUAGUGUCAUAAAUGCUAGUACUUUUCCCUAUAAAGUUGGUCAAACAAAAGCUAGAAGUACACUUAUUCGUGGACGGAGGGAGUACCUUGUACACUAUAUUCGACACAACUCUAACAAACUCCACCUUGGCGAAUAUACUCCACCACCCUGGAUUUGUCCAUGCGUCAAACUUCCAUGUACAUUGGACUUGAGCUUAUCCCAUGAGUACCUCUGCUACUCCAAAGACUCCAUGCGACUCCACCUGCAACUUGUAGUCUCUUCUUUUCUUGACCAUAGUCAACACUCGAGCAAAAUUAAGUUCCUUGUUACUCUAGCUUGUGCUCCCAACUUCCAGAGUAUCAGUCCAACGCCAUCACACUGAUCGCUGACCUGCGUGAAAGUGAACAACUCACAUAUUGGGUGUCAGACAUAAGAGUUACCUGAACUCAACAUCACCGCUCCUUUCUUGACCGUCUGUCUGAAACUUGAAGGAAAUUCACCAUUGCUUCUAGUCAUCCCGAGUCAAAUUCACAGUUGUCUCACCACAUGUAUGACCACCAGAGCCCUGGCCCGUCUCCAUGUCCCGUGCGUACCGCACGCCUCGCCGCUAUUACCGCGUUGAGCCUCCACUGUCCCGGUCGAGUCUCAAGGGUCGCAAAACCACACCACUCAACCCCCACUGCAGAGUACCACCGAACAUCACCGACCGAUGACGAGUUUCACGCUUUCAUCAGACCACUGGGCUCUAGUCCGAACUGCAUGUCACUCGCUUUUUCCCGCCGCUGAAUAGGCUUCGAUUCUCUGGAUCCAAACACUGUAGCCCCUCAAUCCAGCACUGAGUGAAGUCUUCCAGACUCCAGCUCCAUCUUCAACAUGACUCCAUGGUGGAUGAUCAGUCCACCCCGCGCUCCGUCGACUUCAAGCUCACAUAUGCACCGUCUUGAAUCAACCCCGCGCCAUAGUCUUGUCGAAGCCACACAAGCCCUCGGGGCCUGCGCCACGUGUUUCCACGCCCAGAAGUCGGUCACUAUCAGCAUCACGCUCCUAUGUCGCUGUCGCCGAUCCCACCACCGCCUUCUGUACCAACCGACUCACGUCGAUCUGUCAGACUACCUAGUCCAACCCAGCCGAACAUAUCCGACUGCAUGACACACUCCAGACUCCUCAAGCCGUCAUCGUGACAUUCGCCAUCCAUACACAAAUGUGUACCAUCAAAGAAAACCAAAGCAAAAUCCACAUAGCAUUCCCAUGUGAACAUACCAAAUCAGAUCAACAAAGCUAACUAGCUCAAGCACCUGAUUCAUCACACGUCUGUAGCUAACCUUUUCUUUUCUUUUCUUUUUCCAUGACAUCAUCACGAUCUGACUAAGCCCUUGUGCCAAUCUUUUUUUUUCACGAAACAAAUCUCCCGUAUUUGCAUCAGCAUGUACCGAUGUACGCGCAGCAUCAUGGCUCAUGCAUCACGCGCUAGCAGCCUCCCGAGCCGGCCAUGGCAUUUCCUAUUUAGCGCCACAGGCACCGGUUUUAGUUGUUUCCGCAAACCGGCGCCUGUGGCACUCCGCGAUGGGCCGGCCCAAUUUCUUCUCUGUGUUUUAAUUCUGCAAAAAGAAAGAGAGCUCUGGUGGUGAUUCGUACCAGCGCGCCACUGACAAAGUUUUGCUGGAGUAACCACUGCCCCACCCCAGCAGGAUGAGAACUUUCUCUUUUAUUUGUUAUAUAUUCUCCUGUUUACCCAGUUUUCGCCCUUUUUCUUUUUUAUUUUUGUUUCAUUUUUCGUUUUCCUUUUUUGUUCUUUUCUGUUUUCUGUUUUCUUUUUCAUCCUGGUUCAUUGAAUUGUUUGCAAAUACGUGAACUUUUUAUUUUUAAAAUUCGAUGAACUUUUUCAAAUGUGUGAACUUUUUCCCAAAUCUAUGAACUUUUUUUCAAAUUUGGUGAACUUUUUUUAAAAUUCGGUGAACUUCUUUUUAAAAUUCGGUGAAAUUUUGUUCAAAUUCGGUGAAUUUUUUAGAAAAUUCGGUGAACUUUUCUGAAAACCGAUGAACUUUUUUUAAAUCAAAUGAACUUUUUUUCAAUUUCGAUGAACUUUUUUUCAAAAUCAUUGACUUUUUUCAAAUUAGAUGAACUAGUUUUCAAAUUCAAUGAACUUUUUUCAAAAUUAAUGAACUAUUUUUCAAAGAACCAAAAGUUUACGUUUAAAUUCAAUGAACUUUUUCGAUUUUUUUGUGAACUAUUUUUCAUUAUUGAUGAAAUUUUUUAGAAUCAUUGAACUUCUAUUGAAUAGAGCAAAGUAUUUUUGCAUGUUGUGAAACUUUUUUCGAAAUCUGUGAUGUUUCAGUUUUUUUAAAGGAAAUCAUGUAACAGCGGCGGUAAUAGCCUUUAAAAGUUUCGUGCUGUACUUAAUCACUUCUAACCACACGUCCGAUUGAUUAGCCGAAUAGAGUAUGCUGUGUGGGUCGAGAGUUUGAUUCCCCGCAGUGGCACUACUUUCUGGAUAGUUUUUGCACUUUUUUUGUG
rnacentral:lncRNA from 1 species